AACGCACAUUGCGCCCGGGAGCAUUCUCCCGGGCAUGCCUGUUCGAGCGUCAUUUCAACCCUCGACUUCCCUUUGGGGAAGUCGGCCGUUGGAGAUCGGCAGCACUGCCGGCUCCCAAAUCCAGUGGCGACCCGCCGCGGGGACCCCUGCGUAGUAACUAACACUCGCACCGGAAACCAGACGUGUCACGCCGUAAAACCCCCCGCUUUCUGAACGUUGACCUCGGAUCAGGUAGGAAUACCCGCUGAACUUAA
rnacentral:misc_RNA from 1 species